CGGAAGAUGAUUAAAAAAAUUAUGGUUUUAACAUAAAAACAUGCGUAAAGUACAUUAUAGGGAAUUUACAUCAGUAACAGCCCAGCGAAGACUGAAAAUGAAUUACAGAAAGGAAUAUCAAGGACAAUAACACAGUUACAAUUUCAAACUUGUCAAUAAGUAACAUAAAACAUGUAGUGCUACUAUUCAAACAGAAGGGCUUGUGUGCUUUUUUGUAUCCACGGCAGUAGCAUUUGAACUUGGCGGGGUGACACUUUGAGGAUUCUCCAAAAGCCCUGGUGGUGGCACGGGGCGGGGAGCAAUGUCCCGACUUGUUCGAAGGCUAGAAUCAAGGAGAACCUCAGUAGGUAGUGAAGGCUGUAGAGACAAGGGUACGGAGUGAGUAUUGGACACUACCUUGAUGGGAUAAACUUCAGUUACUUCCUCAGUGCCCUCAUCCAGGUAUACAACAUCUUGCAUGGUAAGCUGGUGGUAUUCAACAACCUCCCUUAGGAAGCGAUUCUCACGAGCAUAGAUUGAGUUCUCAUGUGCUAAUCGAGCCUUCUCUGAUAAGAGUGUUUCAAGUUGAAGCCGAAUCAAAUCAUCAUCUUCUGGAUUGUCCCCUCUUUCACGAUUCUCUCGAAGGAUUUUAUUUUCCUCCUCCAGCUGAGCACAUCGCUCCUUAGCAAAAGCCAAAUCAGCUUUAACAGUUUUUAACUCUCGGAGAAGAAGCUUUGCCUUGGCAGCCAUAGCCAUUGCAACCUGUUACACAAACCAACAGCAGAUCAUACCUCUCACAAUGAAAACAAAUCAAACUUAGGAUGCAUAUGCUCUCCCCCAAGUAAUUCUACAUGUCUCACAUAAGGCACUUAUAUAGCUUCCUACUAGAUUUCUACCUUCAAGUUUCUGUUGCUACUAUUAAUGAACAUUCUGGACUGUAAAAGGUACCAUCCAGGAGUGUAAGGCGUGUUUGGUUUGAAAUUGGAAACAGUUUCCUUGUCAACAUAUCUAUAUACAGCCCUGUCAUACUCACAAGUAGCACAAAGCCACAAACAUAGCAAAGAUUCCCAGAAUAUCACAAGACCUUAUGUUAGAAAUAAUAGGAUAGUGAUACAAUGAGAGAAGCAUUGGAAAACAAUACAAAUUGAAUCAUCAGAGCGGUUAGUUAGAUUAUAGAUCUAAAAUGUUCUUCUCAAUGGCCAUGCAGAAACCUCUAGGAAGCAGGAUUGAACUAGUAAACAUCUACCACAUGAUAUAAAUUAGACAUUCUCUGCCUUAGAAUUAAAUAAAUGUUAUUUUGUAAUAUGUAGUAGUCAAGCCAAUCUGGCAGUUUCCAAGCCAAACUGGCAGUUUCCAAGCCAAACUGCACAAGUUUAGGACAACCCACACAUGCAAUAAAUUUCCACUAUAUGAACCAGUGACACAGCUGCCACCUUACGUCGCGAGAUGCUUUUAGUUGAAGUUCUUGGUCAGUUUGAUUUUGGGUUUGUAUUUGUGGUUGUUGCCAUGUGCUACCACGACUAUUUGCCUGAUUCUGUGUACCAGCACCACCAGGCUUUUUCCUGAUGUGCUUACGAGUUUCUUGGAUAAUGUCUGCAGUCCGAUUCUCCACCUUAGUAAGACCCUCCUGAAAAAGUAAAGCCCGAUUAUGUGUUUCAACUUUCAACAACAACCAAACCUUAAUCUCAAACUAUUGCAAACUGUAGGGUUAGAUAAUCACCCAAAACUGUCAAUAUGCAAUUAUGACCUGAAUUGCAGAAUAGCCGAUUAUAUCAUUUUUUAUUAUAAAUUGCAAUUAUGUCCAAAUAGCUGCUGAGGUUUGGCUAUAAUGGCAAUCCAUUAUAAAAGAUUGGACAACAACUGGCUAUUUCAAUUGUUCAGGCCAUGAUUGCACGUUUGCAUAAUGUGAUUAGCCCAAAACUAUAAGUUUACUACCCGAGAAUGAUGGCUAAAUGAUGAUUUUUGUGUGGAAGAGCAAGUGCACAAACACACAAAGAUCACCAAAGAAAUCCCAUUUAUUUUGAAUCCAAAGCGUCUACAGAGGCUCACCUCAACAGCAUUACCAACGUAAUUUAAGGAAGAUGAGAUCGCAUUUAGUCCCUUCUGUAAUGUAGGACUGUCUGUUUUUCUCUGACUGUCAUGAUAGGGGUACGGAUUCUGGUACUUGGGUUUAGUUGAAGCGUGAGGAACAUGUUGGGGGGCUCGCCCAGGUGAAUCCACUUGUUGAGGAGCAUUAUCAUCUUCGAGAAUGGAUUUAGCUUUCCUAGCAAGAUUACCCCAAAAUCCUUGUUUGGAUUCAUUUAAAUUUCGCAUUGAAAUGUACUCAUGGGGCUUCGAAUCCUUGGAAGAAGAAAAAGAAGCGGUGCUGGUGCUGGUGCUGGUGCU
rnacentral:misc_RNA from 1 species